GACGAACGCUGGCGGCGUGCUUAACACAUGCAAGUCGAACGGAAAGGCCCUGCUUUUGUGGGGUGCUCGAGUGGCGAACGGGUGAGUAACACGUGAGUAACCUGCCCUUGACUUUGGGAUAACUUCAGGAAACUGGGGCUAAUACCGGAUAGGAGCUCCUGCUGCAUGGUGGGGGUUGGAAAGUUUCGGCGGUUGGGGAUGGACUCGCGGCUUAUCAGCUUGUUGGUGGGGUAGUGGCUUACCAAGGCUUUGACGGGUAGCCGGCCUGAGAGGGUGACCGGGGGAGGUGGGGGCGUGAGACGGGCGAGAGUGAGGGGAGAGGCAGCAGUGGGGAAUAGGGGAAGAGGGGUGGGAGGCUGAGGCAGAGGCGCGGGGGGGGGGAGGACGGCCUGCGGGUGGGAGACCGGGGUCGCGUGUGAGGAAGGGUGGUUGAUGGGAGGGGGAAAAGAAGGAGCGGCUAACUACGCGACCGAGGCGGCGGAAAGAGGAGGAAGAGCCGACGGCGGAAC
rnacentral:rRNA from 1 species